rnacentral:rRNA from 1 species
AUUGAACGCUGGCGGCAGGCCUAACACAUGCAAGUCGAGCGGAUGAAGGGAGCUUGCUCCUGGAUUCAGCGGCGGACGGGUGAGUAAUGCCUAGGAAUCUGCCUGGCAGUGGGGGAUAACGUCCGGAAACGGGCGCUAAUACCGUAUACGUCCUGAGGGAGAAAGUGGGGGAUCUUCGGACCUCACGCUAUCAGAUGAGCCUAGGUCGGAUUAGCUAGUUGGUGGGGUAAAGGCCUACCAAGGCGACGAUCCGUAACUGGUCUGAGAGGAUGAUCAGUCACACUGGAACUGAGACACGGUCCAGACUCCUACGGGAGGCAGCAGUGGGGAAUAUUGGACAAUGGGCGAAAGCCUGAUCCAGCCAUGCCGCGUGUGUGAAGAAGGUCUUCGGAUUGUAAAGCACUUUAAGUUGGGAGGAAGGGCAGUAAGUUAAUACCUUGCUGUUUUGACGUUACCAACAGAAUAAGCACCGGCUAACUUCGUG